rnacentral:rRNA from 1 species
GGGUUGUGAGGUUAAGCGACUAAGCGUACACGGUGGAUGCCCUGGCAGUCAGAGGCGAUGAAGGACGUGCUAAUCUGCGAAAAGCGUCGGUAAGGUGAUAUGAACCGUUACAGCCGGCGAUGUCCGAAUGGGGAAACCCAGUGCAAUUCGUUGCACUAUCGUUAACUGAAUACAUAGGUUAACGAGGCGAACCGGGGGAACUGAAACAUCUAAGUACCCCGAGGAAAAGAAAUCAACCGAGAUUCCCCCAGUAGCGGCGAGCGAACGGGGAGCAGCCCGGAGUCUGAAUCAGCUUGUGUGUUAGUGGAAGCGUCUGGAAAGUCGCAGGGUACAGGGUGAUACUCCCGUACACUAAAACGCACAGGUUGUGAACUCGAAGAGUAGGGCGGGACACGUGGUAUCCUGUCUGAAUAUGGGGGGACCAUCCUCCAAGGCUAAAUACUCCUGACUGACCGAUAGUGAACCAGUACCGUGAGGGAAAGGCGAAAAGAACCCCGGCGAGGGGAGUGAAAAAGAACCUGAAACCGUGUACGUACAAGCAGUAGGAGCCCACUUGUUGGGUGACUGCGUACCUUUUGUAUAAUGGGUCAGCGACUUAUAUUCUGUAGCAAGGUUAACCGAAUAGGGGAGCCGCAGGGAAACCGAGUCUUAACUGGGCGUUAAGUUGCAGGGUAUAGACCCGAAACCCGGUGAUCUAGCCAUGGGCAGGUUGAAGGUUGGGUAACACUAACUGGAGGACCGAACCGACUAAUGUUGAAAAAUUAGCGGAUGACUUGUGGCUGGGGGUGAAAGGCCAAUCAAACCGGGAGAUAGCUGGUUCUCCCCGAAAGCUAUUUAGGUAGCGCCUCGUGAAUUCAUCUUCGGGGGUAGAGCACUGUUUCGGCUAGGGGGUCAUCCCGACUUACCAACCCGAUGCAAACUACGAAUACCGAAGAAUGUUAUCACGGGAGACACACGGCGGGUGCUAACGUCCGUCGUGAAGAGGGAAACAACCCAGACCGCCAGCUAAGGUCCCAAAGUCAUGGUUAAGUGGGAAACGAUGUGGGAAGGCCCAGACAGCCAGGAUGUUGGCUUAGAAGCAGCCAUCAUUUAAAGAAAGCGUAAUAGCUCACUGGUCGAGUCGGCCUGCGCGGAAGAUGUAACGGGGCUAAACCAUGCACCGAAGCUGCGGCAGCGACACUAUGUGUUGUUGGGUAGGGGAGCGUUCUGUAAGCCGUUGAAGGUGGCCUGUGAGGGUUGCUGGAGGUAUCAGAAGUGCGAAUGCUGACAUAAGUAACGAUAAUGCGGGUGAAAAACCCGCACGCCGGAAGACCAAGGGUUCCUGUCCAACGUUAAUCGGGGCAGGGUGAGUCGACCCCUAAGGCGAGGCCGAAAGGCGUAGUCGAUGGGAAACAGGUUAAUAUUCCUGUACUUGGUGUUACUGCGAAGGGGGGACGGAGAAGGCUAUGUUGGCCGGGCGACGGUUGUCCCGGUUUAAGCAUGUAGGCGGAUGUUCCAGGUAAAUCCGGAACGUCACUAACGCUGAGGUGUGAUGACGAGGCACUACGGUGCUGAAGUGACAAAUGCCCUGCUUCCAGGAAAAGCCUCUAAGCAUCAGGUAACAUCAAAUCGUACCCCAAACCGACACAGGUGGUCAGGUAGAGAAUACCAAGGCGCUUGAGAGAACUCGGGUGAAGGAACUAGGCAAAAUGGUGCCGUAACUUCGGGAGAAGGCACGCUGAUGGUAGGUGAAGUGACUUGCUCAUGGAGCUGAAAUCAGUCGAAGAUACCAGCUGGCUGCAACUGUUUAUUAAAAACACAGCACUGUGCAAACACGAAAGUGGACGUAUACGGUGUGACGCCUGCCCGGUGCCGGAAGGUUAAUUGAUGGGGUUAUCCUCGCGGAGAAGCUCUUGAUCGAAGCCCCGGUAAACGGCGGCCGUAACUAUAACGGUCCUAAGGUAGCGAAAUUCCUUGUCGGGUAAGUUCCGACCUGCACGAAUGGCGUAAUGAUGGCCAGGCUGUCUCCACCCGAGACUCAGUGAAAUUGAACUCGCUGUGAAGAUGCAGUGUACCCGCGGCAAGACGGAAAGACCCCGUGAACCUUUACUAUAGCUUGACACUGAACACUGGUCCUUGAUGUGUAGGAUAGGUGGGAGGCUUUGAAGUGUGGACGCCAGUCUGCAUGGAGCCAUCCUUGAAAUACCACCCUUUAAUGGCUGGUGUUCUAACGUGGGCCCCUGAUCGGGGUUGCGGACAGUGUCUGGUGGGUAGUUUGACUGGGGCGGUCUCCUCCUAAAGAGUAACGGAGGAGCACGAAGGUCAGCUAAUCCUGGUCGGACAUCAGGAGGUUAGUGCAAUGGCAUAAGCUGGCUUGACUGCGAGCGUGACGGCGCGAGCAGGUGCGAAAGCAGGUCAUAGUGAUCCGGUGGUUCUGAAUGGAAGGGCCAUCGCUCAACGGAUAAAAGGUACUCCGGGGAUAACAGGCUGAUACCGCCCAAGAGUUCAUAUCGACGGCGGUGUUUGGCACCUCGAUGUCGGCUCAUCACAUCCUGGGGCUGAAGUAGGUCCCAAGGGUAUGGCUGUUCGCCAUUUAAAGUGGUACGCGAGCUGGGUUUAGAACGUCGUGAGACAGUUCGGUCCCUAUCUGCCGUGGGCGCUGGAGAAUUGAGGGGGGCUGCUCCUAGUACGAGAGGACCGGAGUGGACGCAUCACUGGUGUUCGGGUUGUCAUGCCAAUGGCAUUGCCCGGUAGCUAAAUGCGGAAGAGAUAAGUGCUGAAAGCAUCUAAGCACGAAACUUGCCCCGAGAUGAGUUCUCCCUGACUCCUUGAGAGUCCUGAAGGAACGUUGAAGACGACGACGUUGAUAGGCCGGGUGUGUAAGCGCAGCGAUGCGUUGAGCUAACCGGUACUAAUGAACCGUGAGGCUUAACCUUACAACGCCGAAG